rnacentral:rRNA from 1 species
UACGUAGGAUCCAAGCGUUGUCCGGAUUUACUGGGUGUAAAGGGCGCGCAGGCGGUUUGGUUAGUCUGGGGUGAAAUCUCAUCGCUCAACGGUGAAACUGCCUUAGAUACUGCCAGUCUUGAAUUAGGGAGAGGUUCGUGGAAUUCCGAGUGUAGCAGUGAAAUGUGUAGAUAUUCGGAAGAACACCAGUGGCGAAGGCAGCGAACUGGCCCUUAAUUGACGCUCAGGCACGAAAGCAUGGGGAUCAAACAGG